rnacentral:rRNA from 1 species
CCUACGGGAGGCAGCAGUAAGGAAUAUUGGUCAAUGGACGCAAGUCUGAACCAGCCAUGCCGCGUGAAGGAUUAAGGCCCUCUGGGUUGUAAACUUCUUUUAUAGGGGACGAAAAAAGGGCAUUCUUGCUCACUUGACGGUACCCUAGGAAUAAGCACCGGCUAACUCCGUGCCAGCAGCCGCGGUAAUACGGAGGGUGCAAGCGUUAUCCGGAUUUACUGGGUUUAAAGGGUGCGUAGGUGGGUUGGUAAGUCAGUGGUGAAAUCUUCGAGCUUAACUCGGAAACUGCCAUUGAUACUAUCAAUCUUGAAUCAUCUAGAGGUAAGCGGAAUAUGUCAUGUAGCGGUGAAAUGCUUAGAUAUGACAUAGAACACCAAUUGCGAAGGCAGCUUACUAUGGAUGUAUUGACACUGAGGCACGAAAGCGUGGGGAUCAAACAGGAUUAGAUACCCUGGUAGUCCACGCCCUAAACCGAUGGAUACUCGACAUUUGUGAUAUACUAUAAGUGUCUGAGCGAAAGCAUUAAGUAUCCCACCUGGGAAGUAACGACCGCAAGGUUGAAACUUCAAAUGAAUUGACGGCUUGGAGAGNGCGACGGACGACGACGAGGGAGGAGG